AUGUACCACGCGCACCCUCCCGAGCGCGCCGUCCACACCCGCCUGCCGACGGCUCGCGACGUCCUGUUAGCC
rnacentral:sRNA from 1 species